AGAACUGAGAAGGUUUAUAGUCCUGUGACUUCAACACUGCAGGACUCACAUCUGUCAGUCAACACAGCAGAAAGCACAACCACCAUGACUCUCAUCACCAUCCUCAUCUGGACGCUGACCUGCUGCUGUUUUACAGGAGGCAGCGGUCAGGUGACUGUGACUCAACCUCCAGUAGAGACAUUUACUCCUGGAUCCACUGUCACUCUGACCUGCAACACCAAUCCAAAAGUUUAUACUUGGACAGAUGGAGCUAGUAAAGUACACUGGUAUCAGCAGAAAUCUGGGCAAGCUCCAAAAUGUCUGAUUUACAAUGGUAUACACAAACCAUCCAGUGGUGGAGUUCCAGCUCGAUUCAGUGGAAGAGGGAACGGUAUUGAUGCUGCUCUGACCAUCAGUGGAGCUCAGGCUGAAGAUGCAGCAGUUUACUACUGUCAGAGUUUCCAUGAAAUAAACAGUGCUUAUAUGUUUGCACAGUGAUUUGUAGUCGUACAAAAACCUCCCUCAGUCAGACUGCAGAGACACUGAGCUGUUACAGCAGGAACUGACUGCAGCUGCUGAAGGGGAAGAAACUAUGUCACAGACCACUGAACACAGAGCUGAUGAGUG